rnacentral:rRNA from 1 species
UACGGGGGGGGCAAGCGUUGUUCGGAAUUACUGGGCGUAAAGGGCUCGUAGGCGGCCUACUAAGUCGGACGUGAAAUCCCUCAGCUUAACUGGGGAACUGCGUCCGAUACUGGAUGGCUUGGAUUUGGGAGAGGGAUGCGGAAUUCCAGGUGUAGCGGUGAAAUGCGUAGAUAUCCGGAAGAACACCGGUGGCGAAGGCGGCCUGCUGGGCAGUGGCUGACGCUGAGGCGCGACAGCGUGGGGAGCAAACAGG